AUUGAACGCUGGCGGCAUGCUUUACACAUGCCAGUCGAACGGCAGCGCGGGCUUCGGCCUGGCGGCGAGUGGCGAACGGGUGAGUAAUGCAUCGGAACGUGCCCAGUAGUGGGGGAUAGCCCGGCGAAAGCCGGAUUAAUACCGCAUACGACCUGAGGGUGAAAGCGGGGGACCGAAAGGCCUCGCGCUAUUGGAGCGGCCGAUGUCGGAUUAGCUAGUUGGUGGGGUAAAGGCUUACCAAGGCGACGAUCCGUAGCUGGUCUGAGAGGACGACCAGCCACACUGGGACUGAGACACGGCCCAGACUCCUACGGGAGGCAGCAGUGGGGAAUUUUGGACAAUGGGGGCAACCCUGAUCCAGCCAUGCCGCGUGCGGGAAGAAGGCCUUCGGGUUGGAAACCGCUUUUGUUCGGGAAGAAAUCCUCUGGGCUAAUACCCCGGGGGGAUGACGGUACCGGAAGAAUAAGCACCGGCUAACCACG
rnacentral:rRNA from 1 species